CUUUUCUUUUUUUUUAGACAGAGUCUCACUCUGCCACCCAGGCUGGAGUGCAGUGGUGCAUCUUGGCUUACUGCAACCUCCGCCUCCUGAGUUCAAGCGAUUCUCCAGCCUCAGCCUCCCCAGUAGCUGGGACUACAGGUGCACACCAUCAAGUCCGGAAUGAAAACAGAAGACUUGCUGAUCUUGUGUAUAAAGCACCUGAAACAGUGUAUGACACAUAGGUGCUUCAAUAUCUACUUUUGAACAAUUAAUUAAAAUCAAUCAUUAAAAAUAUAAUGAAAGAUUCUCAAAACCUCUACACUAAAAACACCUUUGUGAGACAGAAUAAACAUUUGUGUAAAAAGAGAGAUACACUAUGUUCACUGAUGAGAAGACUCUACAUUUUUAAGAUGUUGACUGUCCCCAAAUUGAUUCAUAGGUUCAGCAUAGUCCAGUCAAAAUCCAAGCAAGCUUUUUAUAUAGAAAUUGACAACCUAAUUUUACAAUUUACAUGAAAAUGCAAAAGAUAUGUAAUAGUAAAACAAUUUGGAAAAAAAUAAAGUUGGUGGACUUAUG
rnacentral:lncRNA from 1 species